rnacentral:rRNA from 1 species
AUUGAACGCUGGCGGCAUGCUUUACACAUGCAAGUCGAACGGUAACAGGCCUUCGGGUGCUGACGAGUGGCGAACGGGUGAGUAAUGCAUCGGAACGUGCCCAAUCGUGGGGGAUAACGUAGCGAAAGUUACGCUAAUACCGCAUAAGCCCUGAGGGGGAAAGUGGGGGACCGCAAGGCCUCACGCGAAUGGAGCGGCCGAUGUCAGAUUAGCUAGUUGGUGGGGUAAAGGCUCACCAAGGCGACGAUCUGUAGCGGGUCUGAGAGGAUGAUCCGCCACACUGGAACUGAGACACGGUCCAGACUCCUACGGGAGGCAGCAGUGGGGAAUUUUGGACAAUGGGCGCAAGCCUGAUCCAGCCAUGCCGCGUGAGUGAAGAAGGCCUCGGUUGUAAG